ACAGGGGGCUCGAGCGUUAAUCGGAAUCAUUGGGCUUAAAGGGUGCGUAGGCGGGUUGCUAAGUGUUCUGUGAAAUCCCCCGGCUCAACCGGGGAAUCGCUGGGCAUACUGGCAGCCUUGAGGCAUGUAGGGGCGAACGGAACUGUAGGUGGAGCGGUGAAAUGCGUAGAUAUCUGGAGGAAUACCGGUGGCGAAGGCGGCAUCCUGGACCGACAUUGACGCUGAGGAGCGAAAGCUAGGGGAGCAAACAGGA
rnacentral:rRNA from 1 species